rnacentral:rRNA from 1 species
AUGAACGCUAGCGGCAGGCUUAACACAUGCAAGUCGAGGGGCAGCAUACCCAGCAAUGGGUGAUGGCGACCGGCGGAAGGGUGCGUAACGCGUGAGCAACAUACCCUAUACAGGGGGAUAAGCCAGGGAAACUUGGUCUAAUAUCCCAUAGGAAAUAGAUAAGGCAUCUUGUUUAUUUUAAAGCUUCGGUGGUAUAGGAUUGGCUCGCGUGACAUUAGCUAGAUGGAGGGGUAACGGCCCACCAUGGCAAUGAUGUCUAGGGGUUCUGAGAGGAAGAUCCCCCACACUGGGACUGAGACACGGCCCAGACUCCUACGGGAGGCAGCAGUGAGGAAUAUUGGACAAUGGAUGGAAAUCUGAUCCAGCCAUGCCGCGUGCAGGAAGACGGCCCUAUGGGUUGUAAACUGCUUUUAUACGGGAGCAAUAAGGUCUAUGCAUAGAUUGAUGAGAGUACCGUAUGAAUAAGCAUCGGCUAACUCCGUGCCAGCAGCCGCGGUAAUACGGAGGAUGCGAGCGUUAUCCGGAUUUAUUGGGUUUAAAGGGUGCGUAGGCGGCUUUGUAAGUCAGCGGUGAAAUUUUGCAGCUUAACUGUAAAAGCGCCGUUGAUACUGUGAAGCUAGGAUUUGGUUGCUGUGGGCGGAAUGUGUGGUGUAGCGGUGAAAUGCAUAGAGAUCACACAGAAUAUCGAUUGCGAAGGCAGCUCACAAAGCCAAUAUUGACGCUGAGGCACGAAAGUGUGGGGAUCAAACAGGAUUAGAUACCCUGGUAGUCCACACUGUAAACGAUGAUAACUCGCUGUCGGCGAUAGACCGUCGGUGGCCAAGCGAAAGCGAUAAGUUAUCCACCUGGGGAGUACGACCGCAAGGUUG